rnacentral:pre_miRNA from 1 species
CCCCAGGGAACAUUCAACGCUGUCGGUGAGUUUGAGCUUCUGAUGAAAGAAACCAUCGACCGUUGACUGUACCCCGAGG